GGGAGCACACAUGCAUGCACAUACUGAUCCCCACGGAGCAGGAAUGAGGCUAUAAAACUUGUUUUGCUUUAUCUGUGAACCCGUGCUUGCAGCAAUCACAACGAUUUAAAGACAAAAAGAUAAAUGAAUACAAGCUUAUGAGCCGAAAUGCAGCUAUUUUUCUUUGCCGAUCCCGAGCUAAGUGGAAGAAAAACCCACAGAGAUCAACACCAACACAAAAAAGAAACAUCUAUUUAACCUCUUUUUUCCCCUGUUGUUCUGCUCAUCUGGUGUAAAUUAAAGAAAAAAAAAAAAUCUUUUGAGAGCCCUGAUUGUUUUAACCUGCCAGUAACCCCCUUGAGUUCAUCAGAGCAAAAGACAGCAAAAGCCUGUUUAUUGUCCAGCAGGCAUCUACACAUGUUGUAAGCGAAGUUCCAUCUGGUCACAACAUCAUGGAUCAUCUGGGCAACAGCCAGGCUUCAUUUGCUUCAUGUCCUGGACAGCAUGAAGGCAGCCGGAUAGGAAUACGUGAAUGACUGACCAACCACAACCGAGCCGGCCCCAGAGGAUUACUCUAAUAAUAGCUCCUCACCACGGAGCAGUGGUGGCAGUGUGACUUGUUUUCUUUUUCUAAAUGACUCAAGCUGGGCUCUGUGGGAUUGCUGAGCUUUUCUAUUAGGUGCUGGCAAUGUACUGGAGGCACAGCUUGGCUUGCUUUAACAGAACCGGAGGACUAUGUUGACUGCAUGAAAUUCUUCCCAAAACGUUCUUGUAAGCAAAGACCCAAAGAAACCCUGUGCAUAACGGCUGCUUUUCCAGGCUUGUACUGUGUGUAUUUCACAGCAAAGCAACGAGUACAAAACACCAUCAUACCAGAGUUUUACAAAUGCUUACCCUUGGAGAAGACGUCUGUUUUGCGCAAGGGCAAAAAAGAGAUAGUGAACGAUCGACUUAAUUCUGUUUAACCCAAAGUCUGAGCACCUCAGGGAGAUGCCCUGCGGCCAACAUUGUCUCCAGACAUCCAUAACACACUGAAGUACCAAAUGAGAUGUCCACAGCACUGCUGCUGCCCCGAUUGCCACAUCUCUUCUCGUCUCAAGUGCUCUUAUGUAAGCAGUGACGUAUUUGCUUCUGAACAAUAUUCUGAGUCGUCAGAGAAAUGCGUGUUCCAUUUACUCUGCAAAGGAUUGAAACAGAAUGCAAAAGUGAUGCUGAGCGGGCUGCAAUCACAGUCUGCAGUUCUCUGGGCAAUUCCAGAGGGAUUGCGGCAGUUGUUAUUGAAUAGCAUUUGUUGUAAUGGUGAAUACAACUCGAAACGCUGAGCAGGAAUGAAGCUACUUCCGUUUGUCUGAUAACGCCAAGAGGCAGCUUGAAACUAACUUCAAACUGCACAUCGAAUCUUGUCAUUCUGGGUAGAGCAUACUUGAUGUACUUGAUGUUCAACAAAAUGCAACUUUAAUGAAUUAAUGAAUGGAUCCCCAAAAUGUUUUUGGAGCCAUAACUUACCAUACAUACAAUAACGGAAUAAUAUAAUAGGAACCUCUGCCAUCAGAAGAAAAACAGUGAAAACACAAGAGAAGGGAGUUAAGAAGCUCUGGAUACAAGAUUUUUGUUAACCCUACUCGGUUGCUGUAACAAGCUAGAGCCCUGAAUGUGGACCAUCACCUUCCUGCUGGAAAGGCCCAGGGAAUCAGGGAAUCCAAAGGAGUUGAAACCAUUUGUGUUGUUAAAAGCUCACACCUCUGGACAUUAUGUAUAAUGCUGUAGAUGCAAAGUAGCAAGGCAUUUGCAAGGAGUUUCAUAUAACAUACAUGGAAUUAUUUGUAUUUUCUUCAUUCUGUCUUGCAAACCCUUUUCCUAGUACUUAGAAGCAAACUGCAUGGAUGUGUACACAUUUGCACCAUGUGUGAAGGUGAAUUAAUUACAGUGCAGACUGCUUGAGAUGAGAGUGAUUAUGGCAGAGGAAAUGCGCACCAUCUCUUCACUCGUGGGGAAAUUUGAAUCAGGCGGCCGUAACGAAAAAUCUUCUGGAGCUUCCAUUGAACUUGAAGAUUGAAGUGAGAACUUCUGUUUUUCUGGAAAGAGCAGAGGCUAAGUCUUUUGAGGUUUGAUAAUGGGCAAAGACAAUGAUUAGAAAGGCCUUGUUCCUCUCAUAUUUGAUAACAGAUCCCUCUGGUUCAAGGUGGUCAAGCUUCAGUAUUGCUGCUGCCUACCACUGUUCUCUCUCCUCUUCCAAACCAUGAGCUGAUGGAUUGGAUGCUGUGGAGCAAGGCAAAUGGAAGCCUUUAUAAAGAAACAGCAGGGGCUGGACACUUAUGGAUGAGGUGUAUUGAGAAUUACAUCUAGUCUGAUGAGUGCAUGACAGCCUUGACUGACCUAUACUGGUGAUGGUCCUGCUUUGAGUGGGAGAUUGGACGAAAUGACCUCUGGGAAUCCCUUAAAACCAGCACAGCUCCUGUCCAGGAGUCCUGAACUGGUAGAAGCAUGUGUUGUCUACAUCUACAAUAAGGUACAACUCCCCUAAAAUUAUGCUGAGUUUGGUGCUCUCUUACUCUUUCCCUAUCGCUAAAACUACCUUAGGACAGUUUAUGUCCUAAUGCUCAGUCAGGUGGGAAGGCUUUCCCUAGGUCUGUCCUUCAGCCUCCAGAAAUGUCUACAGAGGAAGUGGCAGUGGAGAAAAGCUUGAAUUUUACAAUUGCUUCUUUAGAAAAAUAAAGGCUGCAAUCUCAAACCCGUGCCUGUACGUGCUGUCAGGUGACUGUGAAAGGACAGACAUUUUUUGGUACUCCAGUUACAACUCUGAUUUCUUUUGCCAGAAAAACAGUAGUGGUAACAUUUGAUUUGCAAAUCUGGCACACAGGCACCAGCCCAGUUGAAAACAAUCAACAGAAGCCAUUUCCUCAGUGCAAGUAAAUAUAUUGACAUGUGUUGACAAUAAACUGAUUUUGUGUACUUUUGGAAAGGCAGAGAGCAUCCCAUGUUUUAACUGCUUAGCUCCUCUAAAAGACUAUAUGGGAAAAUAUCUUUCGCAGGCUAUAGAAGGCUGUUCAUCUUUCAUAUCUCCGGAGUAGUCAUGAUUUCCUCUAAUUAUAAUAAUACAAUUUUUACGGAAUAUUCAUGCUAUACUGAGCAUGACAAUAAUAUAUUAAAAAGUGUGCAUAAAGCAUAUGCUUUAAGAUAUGUGAAGGAGUUAGGAUUGUUAAACAAUAUAUUUUUUUAACCUGUUACUUCCAUUGUUUCCACUUAAAAUACAUAAAUUGUUAGUAACGGUUUGGAAACCAUUUGUCAUCUUUGUUUUAAGGCAUUUGUGUCUUGCUGAAUGAAUAAACAGCAAAACUAUCCUUUUACUAUUGUCAACUGUU
ensembl:lncRNA